rnacentral:lncRNA from 1 species
AGUAGGGUACUGAAUCAUCUUCAGAAGAAAGUGGCCAUGAAGGGCUGCUGACUGGCUGCGGAAUCUUCUCCAUUUUUGCAUACCUUUCUGCAACUGCUUUAGCCCUGUCCUCCUUCAGCUGCGUGGCUUUCAAAAGGUAAUAUUCUGGAAAUUAGGAUCUGAAAUGUGUCAAAUGGGAGGUAACAUUUCAGGGUAGAUCUCUGUUUUUUCUCAUUUCCCAUGGAAACUUUUCUUCCACAAAUACCCAUAAAAAAAUCCUGCUGUAACUAAACACUGGGAUCAGACAUCCUGAAAUCAAAAGAUCUGAUACCACCCUCUAGUACACCAGAGAGUAUCUGUGUAAUGUCAUGAGGUGCCUGAGUUAGUACUCAGCUGUACAGCUACAGCACACAUGGUGACAUGGACAAUCACCAUCUAAUAAAGUACUGGUCUGCCAUACAUGAAUCAGGGACCCAGAUACUUGCAAGUUUGCUUAUGGCUAGGUGCUAAUGCUUUCUUCUUUUUGCCUUGUUAUGCAGGUUUCCUGAAGAAAACUCUGAUGAGGAGAUGAGGAGUUACAGAAAGUCACCAGGAAGGCUGUCACAUCGGGGAAACGCCUGGGUCUACAACCUGUUGAUGUGUCCUGACACACCUAUACAGGAGCUGGCCAGGCUGAAAACACUCCAACAAGCAUUCAUCCUGUCAAGAGACACAGAUCAACAGAAGCACAAACAUUUCCUGGGUGAUUCCGGGAAAUUCAUGGACUCAUCAGUGCUUUGUUUCUCCACCUGUAAGACAUAAAUAUUAAUAAUUCUUUCUUCUUUUCUACUUUUUUUUUUGCCUUUCCAAAGAUUUCAGUCUCACUUUUACAUGUAAAUACAAAUAAAUAUUUAUACAGAAAUAUAAAGUCCUCUUAG